UGACCCUGUAUAUUUCUCUACCCUUCCAUGGGACUCAGUUUCUUCAUCUGUAGAAUGAAGGGGUUGGAAUAGAAUAUCUCCUAGGUCCCUUCCAGCUCUGCCAUUUUAUAAGUCUAUGAUCCCUGGCCACACUUACUAAGCCAUCAGCAGGGCAGAUGGGAAGAGACCACAUGGCGGUUUCCAUGGAAACAGAUUCAAACAAGGAUGUAAGGGAUCAGUGCCUCCCAUGAACUGAAUCUUCUCAAUCCCAUAAAAUGACCUCUCACAUCCUCUCACUCCCCAGCAAGGCUGAUCCCCUAUAAAUGUGUCUGAUAAACUCAAAAGCUUAAAAGAUGUUAGCAGUAAAGAGAAUUUUGGAACACGGAACAGAAUGCCAGAGAUAGAAAGAACCUUAGCAAGGAGGAGAAAUGAGAAACUCGGUAUGAGUGAGGAAUUAGAAUCCACUGACUCGGAAGGAAUUCAGGUCACUUGGCCUAGAUCUACAGCAUCCUAGACCUGGAAUAACUAAUCCACCACUAAGCAUUUAAAAACAAGAGAGGUGCAGCAGGACUGGGGAAGAGCCUGGAGUAGAAUCAGAAAAUCAUGAACUGGAAAAAUGGAAGGAAACACUUAUUUGGGGUAGAAGUGGAAGAAGAAGAAGAAGAAGAAGAAGAAGAAGAAGAAGAAGAAGAAGAAGAAGAAGAAGAAGAAGAAGAAGAAGAAGAAGAAGAAGAAGAAGAAGAAGAAGAAGAAGAAGAAGAAGAAGAAGAAGAAGAAGAAGAAGAAGAAGAAGAAGAAGAAGAAGAAGAAGAAGAAGAAGAAGAAGAAGAAGAAGAAGAAGAAGAAGAAGAAGAGGAAGAAGAGGAAGAAGAGGAAGAAGAGGAAGAAGAGGAAGAAGAGGAAGAAGAGGAAGAAGAGGAAGAAGAGGAAGAAGAGGAAAAGCAGAAGCAACUUGGUUUGAGAUAGCUCCAGUUUGAGGCAGUGGCAAGAUACCCAGGAGCCAGUAAUGAAGGAAAGGCUGACUGAUGGAAGGAGGUAGUAGAUUAGCCCCUGGAGCAAUAUCUCGGAAUAGACAUGAGGUAAUGUAAUCAAAGGCACAAAGAGAAAGGUUAGGGUAAGAAAAUGGAAAUGAUACUACUUCAUCCAAGAAGGAAGGGAAAAAGAAGAGUGACAAUUCUUUUUAAAGUGACCAUAUGGAGAAGUGACAAGGAAUGGGGUGGGAGGAGAGAGUGGGGGAAAGAGCUUAUGUUAGUUAACCUUCCUCUUCUUACUAAAAGACUAAACCAUCCAUUCUAAGUAUGCAACUGGGGCAAUGGGCUUGAAAGAGCAGAAAAGGCUCAGAGCUCUUUCUGUAGGGGCUGAGAUACAGAGUCAGUGGGGUUGAAUGGGAAGCAGAGUGACAUCAUACCAUGCAAGCUGGCUUUAGCAUCAGGAAGGCCUCGGUUCAAGGCCCGUAUCUGCCAUAUCCUGGCUCAAUAACCCCUAGAAAAUUCCCUGCUCAGUGCCCCCAGACAGCUCUCUCUCUAAGAUUAUAAAUUACAGGUUCUAAUCCAUAGGUCUGAUUUUUAAAAAGAAGAUGGGAGUGGAAAAUAAAGGAAUCUCUGGACCACA
rnacentral:lncRNA from 1 species